GCCCAGACUCCUACGGGAGGCAGCAGUGAGGAAUAUUGGUCAAUGGUCGGGAGACUGAACCAGCCAAGCCGCGUGAGGGAGGAAGGUACAGAGUAUCGUAAACCUCUUUUGUCAGGGGACAAAGACUGGGACGCGUCCCCGGAUGAGUGUACCUGAAGAAAAAGCAUCGGCUAACUCCGUGCCAGCAGCCGCGGUAAUACGUAGGGGGCAAGCGUUAUCCGGAUUUACUGGGUGUAAAGGGAGCGUAGACGGCGCGGCAAGUCUGAAGUGAAAGGCAGGGGCUUAACCCCUGAACUGCUUUGGAAACUGCCAUGCUAGAGUGCUGGAGAGGUAAGUGGAAUUCCUAGUGUAGCGGUGAAAUGCGUAGAUAUUAGGAGGAACACCAGUGGCGAAGGCGGCUUACUGGACAGUAACUGACGUUGAGGCUCGAAAGCGUGGGGAGCAAACAGGAUUAGAUACCCUUGUAC
rnacentral:rRNA from 1 species